GCCAGACUCCUACGGGAGGCAGCAGUGAGGAAUAUUGGUCAAUGGCCGCAGGGCUGAACCAGCCAAGUCGCGUGAGGGAUGACGGUCCUAUGGAUUGUAAACCUCUUUUGUCGGGGAACAAAGGCGCCCACGGGUGGGCGGAUGAGUGUACCCGAAGAAAAAGCAUCGGAUAACUCCGUGCCAGCAGCCGCGGUAAUACGGAGGAUGCGAGCGUUAUCCGGAUUUAUUGGGUUUAAAGGGUGCGUAGGCGGACAGUCAAGUCAGCGGUAAAAAUGCGGUGCUCAACGCCGUACAGCCGUUGAAACUGGCAGUCUUGAGUGGGCGAGAAGUAUGCGGAAUGCGUGGUGUAGCGGUGAAAUGCAUAGAUAUCACGCAGAACUCCGAUUGCGCAGGCAGCAUACCGG
rnacentral:rRNA from 1 species